GACGAACGCUGGCGGCGUGCUUAACACAUGCAAGUCGAACGGAAAGGCCCUGCUUUUGUGGGGUGCUCGAGUGGCGAACGGGUGAGUAACACGUGAGUAACCUGCCCUUGACUUUGGGAUAACUUCAGGAAACUGGGGCUAAUACCGGAUAGGAGCUCCUGCUGCAUGGUGGGGGUUGGAAAGUUUCGGCGGUUGGGGAUGGACUCGCGGCUUAUCAGCUUGUUGGUGGGGUAGUGGCUUACCAAGGCUUUGACGGGUAGCCGGCCUGAGAGGGUGACCGGCCACAUUGGGACUGAGCUACGGCCCAGACUCCUACGGGAGGCAGCAGUGGGGAAUAUUGCACAAUGGGCGGAAGCCUGAUGCAGCAACGCCGCGUGCUGGAUGACGGCCUUCGGGUUGUAAACCGUUUUCGCCUGUGACGAAGCGUGAGUGACGGUAAUGGGUAAAGAAGCACCGGCUAACUACGUG
rnacentral:rRNA from 1 species